rnacentral:rRNA from 1 species
GAUGAACGCUGGCGGCGUGCCUAAUACAUGCGAGUCGAACGCUGAAGGAAGGAGCUUGCUCUUUCCGGAUGAGUUGCGAACGGGUGAGUAACGCGUAGGUAACCUGCCUGGUAGCGGGGGAUAACUAUUGGAAACGAUAGCUAAUACCGCAUAACAGUAGAUGUUGCAUGAUAUCUACUUAAAAGGUGCAAUUGCACCACUACCAGAUGGACCUGCGUUGUAUUAGCUAGUUGGUGAGGUAACGGCUCACCAAGGCGACGAUACAUAGCCGACCUGAGAGGGUGAUCGGCCACACUGGGACUGAGACACGGCCCAGACUCCUACGGGAGGCAGCAGCAGGGAAUCUUCGGCAAGGGACGGAAGUCUGACCGAGCAACGCCGCGUGAGUGAAGAAGGGUUUCGGAUCGUAAAGCUCUGUUGUAAGAGAAGAACGAGUGUGAGAGUGGAAAGUUCACACUGUGACGGUAUCUUACCAGAAAGGGACGGCUAACUACGUG